AAAAACAUGUCCUUUUGAUUUUAAUUUAAGGUUUAACCUGCUCAAUGAAUUUUAAAUAGCCGCAGUAUCCUAACUGUGCAAAGGUAGCAUAAUCAUUAGUUUUUUAAUUGUAAGCUGGAAUGAAAGGUUGAAUGAGAAAAUAGCUGUCUCUAUAAAAAUUUUAUAGAAUUUUAUUUUUAAGUAAAAAAGCUUAAAUUUAAAUAAAAGACGAGAAGACCCUAUAGAGUUUUAUAUUUUAAAAUUUUAUUUUUUUUUUAGUAUUUUAAGAAAUUUUAUUUAUAAGUAUUUAGUUGGGGUGAUUAGAAAAUUAAAUAAACUUUUCUUAUAUUUUUACAUUUAUGUAUGAAAUUGUGAUCCUUAAAUUAAGAUUAUAAGCAAAAAUUACCUUAGGGAUAACAGCGUAAUUUUUUUUAAGAGUUCUUAUCGAAAAAAGAGAUUGCGACCUCGAUGUUGGAUUAAAAUUAAUUUUUGGUGUAAAAGCUAAAAAAAUUAGGUCUGUUCGACCUUUAAAAUUUUACUUGAUCUGAGUU
rnacentral:rRNA from 1 species